UUUCCGCAGGUGAACCUGCGGAAGGAUCAUUAACGAAUAACUAUGGUGUCUUGGUUGUAGCUGGCUCCUCGGAGCAAUGUGCACGCCCGCCAUUUUUAUCUUUCCACCUGUGCACCGACUGUAGGUCUGGACGACUCUCGCACUCCGGUGCGGAUGCGAGGAUUGCUCUCGGGCUCUCCUCGAAUUUCCAGGCUCUACGUCUUUUUACACACCCCAAACGUAUGAUACAGAAUGUAGUCAAUGGGCUUGAUCGCCUAUAAAACACUAUACAACUUUCAGCAACGGAUCUCUUGGCUCUC
rnacentral:misc_RNA from 1 species